rnacentral:rRNA from 1 species
GACGAACGCUGGCGGCGUGCUUAACACAUGCAAGUCGACCGGAAAGGCCCUGCUUGCAGGUUACUCGAUUGGCGAACGGGUGUGUAACACGUGGGUGUUCUGCCCUGCACUUCGGGUUAAGCCUGGGAAACUGGGUCUAAUACCGGAUAGGAGCCAUUUUUAGUGUGAUGGUUGGAUAGUUUUUUCGGUAUUGGAUUUGCUCGCGGCCUAUCAGCUUGUUGGUGUGGUAAUGGCCUACCAAGGCGGCGACGGGUAGCCGGCCUGAGAGGGUGGACGGCCACAAUGGGACUGAGAUACGGACCAGACGCCUACGGGAGGCAGAAGUGGGGAAUAUUGCACAAUGGGCGCAAGCCUGAUGCAGCGACGCCGCGUGGGGGAUGACGGCCGUCGGGUUGUAAACACAUUUCGCUAGGGACGAAGCUUGUGUGACGGUAACUAGAUAAGAAGCACCGGCUAACUACGUG